rnacentral:rRNA from 1 species
ACUCCUACGGGAGGCAGCAGUGGGGAAUAUUGCACAAUGGGCGCAAGCCUGAUGCAGCCAUGCCGCGUGUAUGAAGAAGGCCUUCGGGUUGUAAAGUACUUUCAGCAGUGAGGAAGGUGGGUAUGUUAAUAGCAUACUCAUUUGACGUUAGCUGCAGAAGAAGCACCGGCUAACUCCGUGCCAGCAGCCGCGGUAAUACGGAGGGUGCGAGCGUUAAUCGGAAUUACUGGGCGUAAAGCGCAUGCAGGUGGUUUGUUAAGUCAGAUGUGAAAGCCCGGGGCUCAACCUCGGAAUUGCAUUUGAAACUGGCAAACUAGAGUACUGUAGAGGGGGGUAGAAUUUCAGGUGUAGCGGUGAAAUGCGUAGAGAUCUGAAGGAAUACCGGUGGCGAAGGCGGCCCCCUGGACAGAUACUGACACUCAGAUGCGAAAGCGUGGGGAGCAAACAGGAUUAGAUACCCUGGUAAGGCCCUG